rnacentral:tmRNA from 1 species
GGGCCUGACGGGUAUCGACGGCUUCGGCAAACUAAGUCUUUCCGGCACACAAAAUAACUGCCAACGAAAACACUCCUUCGCUCGCAGAAAUUCUUUUCGGCUGUCCCGUCGCGGAAGCGGCGGACGUCUGCGUUCCGGCUUUCGCCUAAAAGCCGGUGGUGGGGCGGUAGCCAGUCUCCCAGUCCUGUAAGACCCUGACCCGCAGGGGAUAACGGGAACGCCGGUAACAGGACGACCUAAAACCGAUGUCGGACCCCGGUUCAACUCCGGGCAGGUCCACUA